UGUAUGCACAGAUGAGUAAGUCGCUUUGGUUAAAAGCAUCUGCUAAAUGGCAUAUU
rfam:Salmo salar isolate Sally breed double haploid chromosome ssa19, whole genome shotgun sequence.